CAGGCCGUGAUGCAACCAGUGUGAACGGGGCUCUCCGAACAUGGCCGCCGCACCGCGCCCUACUCACCUCGUCGCCUCACCGGGCUGGCCGAUCCGCGCCGCCCCACCGACCAUCCGCCCACCGGGGCCUCCCACGCAUCGCCCGCCGACCCCGACUCUACUGCCCGCGGACUCCUACCAUCGGGUCCGCCGACCCUCGCCACUCCACUGCCCUCGAGCAACCCGCAGCCGUCGCCUUACCUGCAAACUGGACUCUGCACUGGGCCUGAAGCCUCCACGCUGCU